rnacentral:rRNA from 1 species
CCUCGCAAGAGGAACUUGGUGACAGGUGCUGCAUGGCUGUCGUCAGCUCGUGUCGUGAGAUGUUGGGUAAGUCCCGCAACGAGCGCAACCCUUGUCUUUAGUUGCCAUCAUUAAGUUGGGCACUCUAAAGAGACUGCCGGUGUCAAACCGGAGGAAGGUGGGGAUGACGUCAAGUCCUCAUGGCCUUUAUGACCAGGGCUACACACGUACUACAAUGGCAGGUACAAAGGGCAGCCACUUAGCGAUAAGGAGCGAAUCCCGUAAAACCUGUCUCAGUCCGGAUUGGAGUCUGCAACUCGACUCCAUGAAGUUGGAAUCGCUAGUAAUCGCAGAUCAGCACGCUGCGGUGAAUACGUUCCCGGGCCUU